GACGAAGGAUGCAAGCGUUAUCCGGAUUCAUUGGGUUUAAAGGGAGCGUAGGCGGCCUUAUAAGUCAGUGGUGAAAUCUUUCCGCUUAACGGGAAAAUUGCCAUUGAUACUGUAGGGCUUGAGUACAGUUGCCGUUGGCGGAAUAUGACAUGUAGUGGUGAAAUACAUAGAGAUGUCAUAGAACACCGAUUGCGAAGGCAGCUAACGAAACUGUAACUGACGCUGAGGCUCGAAAGUGUGGGGAUCAAACAGG
rnacentral:rRNA from 1 species